UACGGGGGGAGCAAGCGUUGUUCGGAUUUACUGGGCGUAAAGGGCGCGUAGGCGGCGUGACAAGUCACUUGUGAAAUCUCCGGGCUUAACUCGGAGCGGCCAAGUGAUACUGUCGUGCUAGAGUGCGGAAGGGGCUACUGGAAUUCUCGGUGUAGCGGUGAAAUGCGUAGAUAUCGAGAGGAACACCUGCGGCGAAGGCGGGUUGCUGGGCUGAUACUGACGCUGAGGCGCGAAAGCCAGGGAGCGAACGGGAUUAGAUACCCUUGAGCUCACGAA
rnacentral:rRNA from 1 species